UACGUAGGGGGCUAGCGUUGUCCGGAAUCAUUGGGCGUAAAGCGCGUGUAGGCGGUUCGGUAAGUCCGCUGUGAAAGUCGGGGGCUCAACCCUCGAAAGCCGGUGGAUACUGUCGGACUAGAGUGCGGAAGAGGCGAGUGGAAUUCCUGGUGUAGCGGUGAAAUGCGCAGAUAUCAGGAAGAACACCAAUGGCGAAAGCAGCUCUCUGGGACGGUACUGACGCUGAGACGCGAAAGCGUGGGGAGCGAACAGG
rnacentral:rRNA from 1 species